CGAAAGCCUGACGGAGCAACGCCGCGUGAGGGAGGAAGGCUCUUGGGUUGUAAACCUCUUUUCUCAAGGAAGAUAAUGACGGUACUUGAGGAAUCAGCAUCGGCUAACUCCGUGCCAGCAGCCACAGUAAUACGGAGGAUGCAAGCGUUAUCCGGAAUAAUUGGGCGUAAAGCGUUCGUAGGUGGUGAUGUAAGUCUGCUGUUAAAGCGUGUAGCUUAACUACAUAUAGGCGGUGGAAACUACAUGACUAGAGUGCGUUCGGGGCAGAGGGAAUUCCUGGUGUAGCGGUGAAAUGCGUAGAUAUCAGGAAGAACACCGGUGGCGAAGGCGCUCUGCUAGGCCGUAACUGACACUGAGGGACGAAAGCUAGGGGAGCG
rnacentral:rRNA from 1 species